ACUUUCAACAACGGAUCUCUUGGCUCUCGCAUCGAUGAAGAACGCAGCGAAAUGCGAUAAGUAAUGUGAAUUGCAGAUUUUCAGUGAAUCAUCGAAUCUUUGAACGCACCUUGCGCUCCUUGGUAUUCCGAGGAGCAUGCCUGUUUGAGUGUCAU
rnacentral:rRNA from 1 species